UCCCUGCACACCGGUGCUCUCAACGUUUGAAAAUUCUCUCUACAGUUCAUCAUUUGUACAGUUGAAAAAGUACAAACGGAGUCCCCCCCCCUCUAGAGGUGGCGACAUCUGUAGUGAAUGAAAAGAAACACCCAACAUCGUUGCCAUGGUAACGGACUGUCUACACUGGUCACUAAGAGCAUGACAUAAAAAAUGACGUUAUAGAAGUUAAUCAAAUUAAAAUUGUGUAUUUAAUAAAUAAAAUGACCUCUUCAAAAGCAAAAACUGCCCUGCAACGAGUCAAAGAAAUUGACAAAAAGUACAAAUCUAGGAUAAGUGAUCACAGUAAAAUUGUUCGCAAGAAUUCAAACGAUGAUUCUGACGAGAAAUCACUCGAAAUUCUCCGUCCCAGACUCAAUAUACAAAUGCCAGAAACUUAUGUUGAAUACGUGAAUAAUUAUCCGUCAGAUAAUGAACGAAAAUUAGUCUCCCCGAUUCGAGUGGUAAAUAGCUUAUUGGAAUCAUUCGAUGUGCAUGACUCCAACUCGAAGGAAUUAGAAGGGGACAGUGUCACAGUGGUGAAUGAAAAAGACAGUCAAAAUUCUGUGGAAGAAAUACUGGACCAAUCAAUUAGUGAAAUUAUAGAAAACUCUAAUGAAACUUCAGGCAAAACUUCUUCACUAUCAGGAAGAGGAACCAAAAGGUCAUCAGUUGAAUCUGAAAGGAGUGCAUCCAAGGAAAAGGUAUUAAAUUUUAGUGAAUUUUUAGACAAUUAUUCCAAAGCAACUGGAGGUCGUGAUGAAAGUUCCUUAAACGAUGUUGAAAACCUUGAAUCUAAAUCAGAGAAGAUAGCGUCUCCUGCAUCCGUCGAGUCCCAUGAGGAACAGGCGAUUGAGAGUUACUCUCAAGAUCCCUUCGAAAGUAAUACAUCGCCGAGUGAAGAGAACGAAUCAGAAGAAGAAACUAUUGAGUCAGAAACCUCCGCCUAUCUAACUCCAGACGUAGAAAUUUAUCAAGAAGAUUCGCAAGUCUUAGAAAGUAUUGCAGAUAAUUCAGGACUUGUGGUAAACGAUCGUGUAGAUGGAUUGCCCUCUCAACGCAGUGAGCUAAUUAGUAAAGCAAACGAAAUUGAAGAAAUAAAAAUUACAACUGAGGGACAAUCAUCGAAUUCUGAUAUACCACUACAUAAUGGAACGUUUUAUGGGCAACGAGAGGUACCUUUGAAUGAAAAAAUACAGAGUCCCGACGUCAUUGCUCAUAGCGAAGCGGAAGGUAGAUGUGAGGAAAAAAUCCAUGUUCAAGACAAGUCAAGCGAAAGUAAUACCAGCGAGCCAUUAGCUGAGCUCGAGAAAUCAAUUAUCUCUACUGAUGCAGCUGAUUUAGAAGCGACGAAGAAAUUGAAUAAAGUUGUAGUGGAACUCCAUGGACGAACUCCUGUGGAGGAAAAAGAAAACCAAGUGAAAAGUCAUCAGGAGGCCACGAAGACCAUGAUCCUGAUAUUGCUUUCCUUCGAUCGCGGCUCAUCGACAUCCGUCAAUGGUUAAAAGACCAGUACAUACUUUACAACGAACGCUAUGACCUUGCUGCAUCCAUAAAUAGGACUUAACAAUCAGUUGAUGUCACAUUUAUCACACAGGAAAUCCGUCAAUCACGAGGCAAAAAGAGGAAUGAAGUUGAGGGAUAAUGAUGAAAACAAUAUAUUGGAACUGCAGACUAUCGAAUCUUAUUGAAGUGCAAUCGCGCAAUUAAGUGAAAUUACGUGGUGUAAUUAUCCUGCCGUCGGAAUCACGGGCCGGUAGAUUCAGUCGACAAUGCGAUGAAAAAAGGAAAGAAAAGAGAGGAUAAUAUAAAAGGCGGGAGGACGAGCCGUGAACUGGACAUUCGGGCCUCGGGGAUAACCAACAAGCGGAACAAAGAGAAACCUUACCGGACACAUGAGGUGAGAUCUUGGGCAACCUCAAAGAAUUUCGCAAUGAAUCAAUGUGUGAAUGUUCCAUGUGAAGGAAGAAUUUUUGUAAAUAUUUGCAAGCCAGGGUGAUGAGGUAAAAGACCGCCAUACCUGUUGUGCCAGAAAUAUAAUUAACGGAAAAAUAUAAUUAACGGAUCAUUCUGUCAUAUUUGUCUUGGACCAGCCCCAAAGAUGGACAAAUUAGAAAAAUAUGAUUGACCGACAAGAGAAUGAGGUAGUUUUAUGGGUUUAAGAAUAAAAGUGUAUGGGAAUUGUGGUAUUAGCACGUAAGUAGACGUCGCCAGGUCUCGAUGGUUAACGCAAGGUGCUCGGGUACCUCAGAACAACAACGGGAGUCUGACGAUGUACGCAGCAGGUUGUAUAACGGUACGAUUCCCUCAGCAUCUCCCAAGUUACCUGGCGUGCUUUCAAAAGUUUUUCAUGGGCUAACUUGACGAUUAGCGUGUUCUUCUAGAAAGUUAUUAAAAAAAUUUUUAAUAUUCGUAGAAUAGAAAAAAUAAUUGUUCACUGUACAUCUGGGAAAAAAUGAUGUCAUAUCUGAUAUUGUGGUGGCAAUUAAAUUGUAAUAAGCUCCUUAUUGUAUCGGAAAAUACUGCCAAUGGAGAUGCAGGAGGAUUUUUCUCAUAUUUG